rnacentral:RNase_P_RNA from 1 species
CAACCGAAUCGGGUAACCGCGGGCGCGAGACCGAAAGGGAACGCCUGAGGAAAGUCCGAGCUCCGUAGGGCAGAGUGCUGGAUAACGUCCAGUGAGGGUGACCUUAAGGCUAGUGCCACAGAAAAGGAAACGCCUACUGGCAGCAGUGAUGCUGGUCCAUGGCAAAGCUGAAAAGGUGCGGUAAGAGCGCACCAGCGGUUGAGUGAUCAACCGGCUUGGUAAACCCCACUCGGAGCAAGACCGAAUAGGAGGGGGCGUCCUUUGGCGGACGCGAGAAUGGCCCGUUCUUCCCUCGGGUACGGUCGCUUGAGGCGGCAGGUAACUGUCGUCCCAGAUAAAUGGUUACCACUGAUUGUGCAUACACAAUCAGCACAGAACUCGGCUUAUAGAUUCGGUUGGUCA